GAGCAUGUCAGAACCCACCUCCCGCUCCUGUGCACACAGAGAUCUGUCCCCUUAGGGCCCAGGCCACCUCCAGGCAGGACAGAGCCAAUGUCUUACAUUCUGGGUCAGUGAUUCCAGAAAUCAGGGCCAGGUCCCGUUCAGAAUGGCCCAUUAGAUUUUUUUUUUUAAACAAACCUUGGUUCAGUGAAAUAAUGUGCAUGCUUUCAUGGAUAGGCACUGUGUGUGUGUGUGUGGGUGGGCGGACAGCACCCAUGUCCUCUGUGAGAGUCGGUUUCUGCCCCAGGCUUGCCUGUCAAGGGCCAGUGUGACACCUACCACAGGGCAAAGGCCUCUGUGUUUUUGGGGGGGCUGCUGUCACAAGUCCCCACCCCUCACUGCUUUGCCACGAGCCCCAGGGUUACGUUCUCAGAGGACAGACUCCUCGCAGAGUUUGGGGUUCCUUGUGUGACCCACCGCCAGCCAGCUGUACCCAGCAGUUGUCACUUCCCCUGGCCGGAUGCUGGAGAUGGUCUCCAUCCUGCACUGACGGAUUUGGGGAGAAAAAGCGAUGGAAACAUCCAGAACACUCCCAGGAAGCAACUGUGGUCAGAGAGAAUGGCAGGCUUGCUUGAUGGUCACUGACUCAUGUCGUGGGUGGGGAAACCGAGGCGGAGUGGGCAGUGUCUUGCCCGAGCCUCCCAGCACAGGUCUCUGUCCCUCAUAGUGAUCCAGAACCAGAGUCCUGACCCCUGACCCCUGGAUUGCUCUGCCCCCUUUCUGGCCUGAACCCACUCCUGCACCAGCACAGCCGUCCUUGGAGGAGCUGACGUGCCCUGACCACGACUCCCCUCUCUCCUGCUUCCUCCAAAGGGAAAACGAGAAAGAGCGAACAAGAACGACGAGAGGCCAGUUCCAGCUAAUUCCUCGAGAGAGUGAAUAACCUGCCUGUGAGCGCACCUUCCACACGCAAACCGGCCAGUCCAGAGCCCGCAGCCCCAGCCGCCUCCUGUGUCUGACUCUCGCACACCACGCCAACAUUCUCCCGGCCCUAAAUUGUCCCAGGACAACGAGGGGCCACUCCUGUGGCCCCGAGCCCCUGAAAUUGUUCAAAAACACCUUGCUCAACCUUGCCUCCCCUGCCUUGCCCAUUUCUAUUCUUGGAAACCACAGUAAGCCUCCUGCCCUGCUUCCCUCUCUCCCUGCCUCUUGACCAACCCUGGUGCUUCCCCGUGCGGCCCUGCGUGGCGUGGCGUGCCCCCUCCUCUUGGGAACUCCAAGCAAUAAACUCUCCUUUCAAAGGCAGUUGUCCCCACGUCUAUCACCUUCCCAGACCUGAUUAAAACAAAUCCCAGGUAUAUUUUAAAACAGGCUAAAGGUGAAAUAUCAAAUGGCAGGGCUGAGGGAGAAGGCAUCUGCCUGAAUCCUUUAAGUCCUGGGGGGUGCCUGGGCUCCUCUUGUGGGAAAUUUCCAGGCUGGGUGUAUGGUCCAAGGGUCUGCUGCAUCCCUACCGACUGCUGGGCCCUCGUGGUCACCAGAUGGGAACAGGGCCUCGUCUGUGCAUGAGCAAGACUCACAUAUACGUUUGGACUGGUGCAUCAGUCAAGCUGCCAUUCCUGAGAAAGGGAGACCCUGAAACGUUCAGGACACAAAACUGUGUCUGGAAAACCUACAAACAGGCCCAGGACAAUGAUGCCCUUUGCCCCCUCAGGUAUGGGUGGCCAGUGACCUGGAUCCUAAUCUGGGCUGCGCCUCUGCCUUUCUAGAGGAGGUGGGGAUAAUGAUGAUGUGGUAGCAAUAAUAAUAAUAAUUUGAACAGCAGAACAAGCGUCAUCCCCAUUUUGCAGAAGGGG